rnacentral:rRNA from 1 species
ACGGGUGAGUAACACGUAUCCAACCUGCCGUCUACACUUGGACAGCCUUCUGAAAGGAAGAUUAAUACAAGAUGGCAUCAUGAGUCCGCAUGUUCACAUGAUUAAAGGUAUUCCGGUAGACGAUGGGGAUGCGUUCCAUUAGAUAGUAGGCGGGGUAACGGCCCACCUAGUCUUCGAUGGAUAGGGGUUCUGAGAGGAAGGUCCCCCACAUUGGAACUGAGACACGGUCCAA